rnacentral:rRNA from 1 species
UACGUAGGGCGCAAGCGUUGUCCGGAAUUAUUGGGCGUAAAGAGCUCGUAGGCGGUUUGUCGCGUCUGCCGUGAAAGUCCGGGGCUCAACUCCGGAUCUGCGGUGGGUACGGGCAGACUAGAGUGAUGUAGGGGAGACUGGAAUUCCUGGUGUAGCGGUGGAAUGCGCAGAUAUCAGGAGGAACACCGGUGGCGAAGGCGGGUCUCUGGGCCGAUAUUGACGCUGAGGAGCGAAAGCGUGGGGAGCGAACAGG